rnacentral:rRNA from 1 species
AGUGAACGCUGGCGGUAGGCCUAACACAUGCAAGUCGAACGGCAGCACAGGAGAGCUUGCUCUCUGGGUGGCGAGUGGCGGACGGGUGAGGAAUACAUCGGAAUCUGCCCAGUCGUGGGGGAUAACGUAGGGAAACUUACGCUAAUACCGCAUACGACCUUCGGGUGAAAGAGGGGGAUCGCAAGACCUCUCGCGAUUGGAUGAGCCGAUGUCGGAUUAGCUAGUUGGCGGGGUAAUGGCCCACCAAGGCGACGAUCCGUAGCUGGUCUGAGAGGAUGAUCAGCCACACUGGAACUGAGACACGGUCCAGACUCCUACGGGAGGCAGCAGUGGGGAAUAUUGGACAAUGGGCGCAAGCCUGAUCCAGCCAUACCGCGUGGGUGAAGAAGGCCUUCGGGUUGUAAAGCCCUUUUGUUGGGAAAGAAAUCUUUCAGGCUAAUACCCUGGGAGGAUGACGGUACCCAAAGAAUAAGCACCGGCUAAUUUCGUG